rnacentral:lncRNA from 1 species
GUGAACAAAGAGGACAAGAUCGGAAUCAAGGUACUGAGGGAUGAAGAGACUAUUAGGUUCCAUGGAGAUGAAACCAAUAUGCAUUGGACUAUGAAGAUAUGAACCCCAACGAUAGCCACCCUUCACCAUUCUCAUCGACCCAGCGUCAGUUUUCACAACAUUAUGUAAGUGACGCAACAAGAACCAUUUUUCUCCUUGUGUUCUUUGCUCAUUUUCUUCCUCUUCAUAGGCACCAACAUAGGCCACUAGUGUAGUGAAAAGUACCAGCACUAGAAGCAACAGUGUCCUAACCUUUUCCAUCUCAACUUGUAAUAAAGAAGAAUGUCUUCGAAGUUUUCUUUAAUCAGUUUGGUACAUUGGAGAGUGAAGGGUCUGUAGUUGUUUAUAUAGAGGGAAUGAUGAGAUUUUAAGGGGAGUUGUCGUAAACCAUGCAAUUUUUCUAGGCUUUUCUUGUAUACAAAUCAUUUGGUGAACUUAUGCCAAAUCUGAUGACCACUUCAAAGGGCUACUCUACCGCACUAAAAGAAUGUAUUUAACUUUUAACAUGUACUAUAUACUAAUUUUUACACUUGUAUUAAGGUUACCAAUCAGCUUUAGUAUAAACAAUUCAUAACAAAACUAUAAUACAAUUUUCGCAGGAUACAUAGAUAGAUAUUGUAAUUUGGACACGAAUGGAAAUUGAACACCCAAAUUUCCAAAUGACCAUAUAGACACGUCAUCCUUACUAUAUCUUGUAGACACUUGAUGUGACAAAAUAUUUGUCUUUCAAAUAAAUUAGAGCGCGUGAAGUCUUAUUUUUACUCAUAUUUUUCAUUUUUAUCUAGGAAAACCCUUGAAAAUCAGUCUCUCCUCCGGCGAUGGGAAUAAAUGGUCACUCCGGCUUGAACUCUUCUCCCCUAUCAAAUUCCAAAUCCAAAAUCAAUAUUUCAUACAUGAUAGUUGAUUUCAAAAAGCUAAAUUUGUGCAAGACUAGAAUUACAAUAGAAAAUGUUAAAUUACAUCUUAUCUUUUAAAAUUAUUUUGUCACGUCGAGUGCAACUCACACAAUAGAUCUUGGGGACGAGUGUCUUUACCAGGCUAACUUACUCACGCAAUAGAUCUUGGGGACGAGUGCAUUUACCAGGCUAACUUAAAUCAAGAUAAGGUAUCUAAACGGUCAUAAUGAAAGCGUCAGUGGUGGCCAAAUGUAAAUGUAUAUAUAUGUAUUAUACCCCGUACAUUUUUUUACAGUAUCAAGUAAUCCCAUCAUUUUUUUUAAUUGCUCUCCUUAUUUUUUAUAAGUCAAUUUGACUAAGUUUCAAAGCUAAAUUGACUUAGACUUAUUUAAUUUAUUUUUUAAAAAUUAUAAUUUGAUAUUUAAAAACUACAUGAAAAGUACUAUAAAUUGCAAUUUUUCUUUUUUAAUUUGAUUAAAAAUAUAUUUUAAAAAAUUGUUCAAAAUUUGAAUUCUUAGAUUCUAAAAAAGAAAAGGGAGCAAUUAAAAAGGAAUAGAGAGAAUAUUUAAUAACCAAUGGAUGUAAUUGUCUUUAAGUAUGGAUUGAUCACAAUAAAAAAUAACAUAAACAAUUUCUUCUAAACUGAUUAAAAAAACAAUUUACACUGUUAGCAAAUUUGAAUAAUAUCAAUGACAACUGGCGUAAAAUAAUUGUUAAGAAUUCACAUCAGAAAAGAGAUGGACAGUUGAUAUCCUUAUACGAACUUGGACAUCGGACAAUCCUCACCCUAGCUAGUUUAGACGCAAAAUUCAUUUCCUUACAAUAACCAGUUAGAAUAUUUAAGAACCCUUUGUUAUUACUAUUAGUUUUGUAUUUGCUCUUAUAGAAAACAAAAAACUCCUCUCUCUAAACUUAGCCAGGACUAAGUUGACUAGCACCUUGGUUUUUGGGUCAAAAUUCUGGUCAUUUCCAUUCAACUUGACUUAUUAGUCAAAGCUAACUGAUAUUUUGUUUUGUUUGUGGCCAAGAGAAGGAAUCACUAGAACAUAUGUUCUUUUGUUGUCCUAAGUCUAGAAAUCUUGAAAACGAGUCCUGUAAUUUUGCCUGAGUCAAUGAUUGUUCAGCUUAUUUGUAUACAUAAUGUGGUUUAUUUGGAAAGCUAGAAAUCACUGGGUGAUGAUAGGAGGGAUGCUUCUUUUACCGUGUCAAGGGCAUUAUUUUAUAUUAAUGAUUAUGGUGAGCUUGUAAAUGUUAAUAUUGUCAUAAAUAAACAACAUAUAUAGACUACCAACAUUUCAGUUUUUCAUACUAAUUGUAAAAGUUCGAACCAUGAAAAGAAUCACUUCAAUAAACCAAUCCGUCUUAUUCACAACUAAAGGGUAAAGUGUCUUGUGUCCAACAAGAACACCGAGGAAACAAAAUCAGAUCGCAUCAAAGUGAAAACAGAAAAGAUCCAGAAAAAAAAUAGUUGCAAAACUGGCAUUGAGCUCUCAUGCCAUAACUCAACUAGACCAACGACGUACAAGAAUUCCCACUAAACUAAUAAAAAUCCGUACAUUGCCUCGUCGUCAGGAGAAUCUGAUGAUGAUGGCAAGAUGACUUGUUCACGUUGAGCAUUAACAAUCCUCUUAAGCCUUUUCUCACCAAUUCCGAAUGCAGCUGCAAAUUCUGGCCCUCUCAAACUCUGCAUCAAUGAGUUCCUACCCACCAAGAACUGAGGAUGGUUCCUCCUUGCUGAUGUUGUGAAGCCGAAGAACUCAAAUGGGCCAUUCGUUGAAGCAAUAUGGCAGAAUGGGUAGUACCUUGGCACCCAAAAGACGUCCCCUUGUCGUACUCUUGCAUUCAUGGCUAAAGUCCCAUUCGGAUACACAAUUUGAACUCUGCCAGUCCCUUUCAACACUACUCCGUACUCUAUUGCUCUUGGAUUUACAUGAGGUGCCAUCAUGGAUCCCUACAUUUUCAAGUAAAAAUAGAUAAAACAUGUAAGCAAGAAAAGAAAAGAAAAGUUGUUAUAUAUAUACGGACCAGGUUAAGUGUGAUUUGCUUUCACAUGAAGAUAUUUGAGUCAAUACAUGCAAAUGAUCAUUACCGGAGAUAGAUUGACAAGGUAAACGCCAUUGCCAGAUUGUUGUAGAGGAGAAUAAUCAGACUCAUCCACACUCUUGGUCCAUCCAUAGUCAUUCUUGAAAUUGGGCUUCCUGUUGUACAGAUUGUACGCUGAUGGAGCUUUGUGAUUCCCUCUCUUGACAACAUCUUUUCUUUUUAAUAAAGCACACAAAAAUUUCCUCAAUGACCAUGUUGAUUCCUCCUCUUUUGGUCUAACUUCUUUCUCCAAAUUCACAAUCCUCUUCAAGUGCGCUAGUUUCUGAUGGGAUUCUUGGGCUACGAAUUUGGUCCAAACGUCUGUGUGAUGAGAACCAGAUAAAUGCACGAUUGGUCCGGAAGAUUGCCUGGUCAAGAACCUCCUUAAUUCUGCUGUCGAGACCUGGAGUUUUACAUAAUUUUGAUUCAAUUUGUUGUCCUGCUGAUAAAUGUAGUAAGGAAAAUUAAAUUCCCUUGAAUACUCACAUUAAGAGCUGUUGAUAAUGUGUUAUGAUCGAAUCCAGCAAGAACGGAUGCUGGAUGAAUUCCACCACCAAUGAAGAAAGACUGAAAAAUAGUUACCCGAAGUUACUACGAAGCUUUGGGAAGAAAUAGGACGAUAAACCAAAGACAAGAAAUAGUAGAUCAAAUGAUAAAUUUUUGAGAAUUUGACCAAGGCUACCUGGAAAGCAUGCCAUCCCAUGGAUUCUGAGUUAAUAUCAAUGCUGCAAAUAAUGCGAAGUCUCUCGUUUUCAGCUCUAUUCUCCAAAUAGAAAGCUGAUCCAGCAGCUAUUGUGUACACAUCUCCAUGCUUCAAAUGCCUUUCUACUAAUUCAUUCCUAUAGAUGUUUCCAACUCUUGCUUCCCCUGUAUUCAAUUCAUAACAAAUGGACAUCAGGCUUAUAAUUUAAUUUCUAUACUACACGUGUAUUUUAACCUGUUAGUGUUUUUCCAGGCUAUUAGUCCCGCUUCUUAUGAAAGACUAUGUAGUUAUCGUUUAGGCAACUUGAUGAAUUCUUUUUAUACAAUGUCAAUGUAUAAGAAGUUAAACUCUUAAUUACCGUGAUGAACAAAGAGGACAAGAUCGGAAUCAAGGUAUUGAGGGAUGAAGAGACUAUUAGGUUCCAUGGAGAUGAAACCAACAUGCAUUGGACUAUGUAGAAAUGAACCCCUUCGGUAGCCACCCUUCACCAUUCUCAUCGACCCAGCAUCAGUUUUCACAACAUCAUGUAACUGACGCAGCAAGAACCAAUUUUCUCCUUGUGUUCUU